rnacentral:lncRNA from 1 species
GUCCAUCAGCUUGUGAUGGAGAGCGAAACACCAGGUUAGGAGCAGCUACAGGCCAGAAGAGGAAUGUCCUACGUGAACGUGAUUUAACAGCUCCAUCGCCUGGGGCCACGUGGAAUUCUUGAAGCAGCUGUGUCAGACAUCCGAGUCAAGUUGGGGCAUGAGUGACCUCUCAACAUCUAAUGGAGCAUUUACUCCUUUGGACCAGAGGAGAAGAUAUGGAUGAACUCCUUGGACCCACCCUGUUCCCAGCUCAUCUGGGAGAAUGAAGCUAAUUGGUAAAUCCACUGUUUGAUGCUUGUAAUGAAGACUCAAGGAGUUCUGUCUCUACCAAGUUCCUUGCCCUUAAUGACUCAAGAAUUAAUUUUAUCUUUUCCUCUCAAAACCUUGAAAGAAAUGCUUGAGUCCUUGUAACCUGUAAAAUAAAUGUUGUUACUGAAGGGAAAAGCAA